rnacentral:lncRNA from 1 species
CUUGGUUGGUUGGGCGGGGCACCGGACACAUUUUUCAAACUAGAUACCCCAAUGAUGAUUAUGGCCAAGUUUGGUUAAAUUUGGCCCAGUAGUUUCAGAGGAGAAGAUUUUUCUAAAACAUUACUAAGAUUUACGAAAAAUGGUUAAAAAUUGACUAUAAAGGUCAAUAACUCCUAAAGUGGUCAACUGACCAUUUUGGUCAUGUUUGACUUAUUUGUAGAUCUUACUUAGCUGAACAUUAUUGCUGUUUACAGUUUAUCUCUAUCUAUAAUAAUAUUCAAGAUAAUAACCAAAAACAGCAAAAUUUCCUUAAAAUUACCAUUUCAGGGCAGCAACCCAACAACGAAAUGUCCGAUUCAUCUGAAAAUUUCAGGGCAGAUAGAUCUUGACCUGAUGAACAAUAUUACCCCCAUGUCAGAUUUGCUCUAAAUGCUUUGGUUUUUGAGUUAUAAGCCAAAAACUGCAUCUUACCCCUAUGUUCUAUUUUUAGCCAUGGCGGCCAUCUUGGUUGGUUGGGCGGAGCACCGGACACAUUUUUUAAACUAGAUACCCCAAUGAUGAUUGUGGCCAAGUUUGGUUAAAUUUGGCCCAGUAGUUUCAGAGGAGAAGAUUUUUGUAAAAGUUAACGCAGGACGACGACGACGACGGACGACGGACGCCGGACGCCAAGUGAUGAGAAAAGCUCACUUGGCCUUUCGGCCAGGUGAGCUAAAAAGGA